AGAAACUGUCAUGAUUUUCAUGUACAUCUUUCCAAGUACUGCAUGCAUGCGAUCGACCGACUGCCGGUAAUGACAUUUCUUUCUCAUGGGGCAAACCCAACUCCAUCCGAAGGAGAAUUGAUUGCCGAUGGUGCACACUUUUUCUUUCAUUCUUUAACAUAAAAAAAUGAUGGCAGCUUAUUUUGCAACGUCAACCAGUUGAACAAAUUUGAAAAUAAUCCAGCCUCUUUCUACCGAUCUGUCCUUAU
rnacentral:lncRNA from 1 species